rnacentral:lncRNA from 1 species
UUAGUUAAUCCCUAAAUAAGCCCUAACAAAAACUUAGAUAAAUCCUAGUCAAAUCUUAAUCAAAUCCUAAUCAAAUCCUAAUCAAAUCCUAAACAAAUCUUAAUCAAAUCUUAAUCAAAUCUUAAAAAAAUCCUAAUCAAAUCCUAAAUAAGUCCUAACUAAAUCUUAGAUAAAUCCUAAAUAUAUCCUAAUCAAAUCCUAAAUAAAUUAUAGUCAAAUUCUAAUCAAAUCUUAAUAAAAUCUUAAUCAAAUCCUAAACAAAUCCUAAGAAAAUCCUAGUCAAAUCCUAGCCAAAUCUUAAAUAAGUUCUAAUCAAAUCCUAGAAAAAUCCUAAACAAAUCCUAGCCAAAUCUUAAAUAAGUUCUUACCAAAUUCUAGACAAAUCCUAAAUAAAUCUUGAUAAAAUCUUAAUCAAAUCUUAGACAAAUCCUAAAUAAGCUCUAACCAAAUCCUAAACAAAUCCUACUCAAAUCCUAAUCAAAUCCUAAUCUAAAUCAAAUUCUAAUCCUAAAAAAAUCCUAAUCCUAACCAAAUCUUAAAUCAAUCCAAAAUCCUAAUCCUAAUCCUAAACCGAACCCUAAUCAAUUCUAAGUAAUUCCUUCAACAGUUUAAACCUCAAUAACUAAUGAAUGAACCAUUGAUUUUAAUUCAAUUUUUGCACACCUCUUAACAAUUAAGUUGACAACAAGUAUAAAAAAAAAUUGGAAAAGAUUGGAAUUACUAAAUAGAAGAUAUUCUCAAAAAUGUGCUCGGGUGUUGGCCAGCCUCCUUCUCCAACCUUGAUGCCAAUCUCUUAGAGCCAAUUACUCCUGAUCAAAUCAUUACUUUCCUUUUAAACUUUAUACAUUUGUUAGAAAUCAAGCUAACUACUUCUAUGAAAUUUUUUUGCCUCAAU